rnacentral:rRNA from 1 species
AUUGAACGCUGGCGGCAGGCCUAACACAUGCAAGUCGAGCGGAACGGCGGGCGGGUGAGUAAUGACUAAGUAUCUGCCUGGUAGUGGGAGAUAACGUCCGGAAACGGGCGCUAAUACCGCCUACUCUCCGUUGAACCUAGGCCGGAUUAGCUAGUUGGUGAGGUAAAGGCCUACCAAGUCGACGAUCCCUAACUGGUCUGAGUGGAUGAUCAGUCACACUGGAACUGAGACACGGUCCAGACUCCUACGUGAGGCAGCAGUGGGGAAUAUUGGACAAUGGGCGCAAGCCUGAUCCAGCCAUGCCGCGUGUGUGAAGAAGGUCUUCGGAUUGUAAAGAACUUUAAGUUGGGAGGCGUUACCAACAGAAUAAGCACCGGCUAACUUCGUGCCAGCAGCCGCGGUAAUAC